UACGAACUGUGCAAACGUUAUUCGGAAUCACUGGGCUUAAAGGGUGCGUAGGCGGUCAUUUAGGUAGGGUGUGAAAGCCCCCGGCUCAACCGGGGAAUUGCGCCCUAAACCGGGUGACUGGAGUGAGAUAGGGGUGUGUGGAACUUCCGGUGGAGCGGUGAAAUGUGUUGAUAUCGGAAGGAACGCCCGCGGCGAAAGCGCGUCCCUGGACCCCACCUGACGCUGAGACGCGAAAGCCAGGGGAGCGAACGGG
rnacentral:rRNA from 1 species